rnacentral:rRNA from 1 species
AACGAACGCUGGCGGUAUGCUUAACACAUGCAAGUCGAACGGGCAUAGCAAUAUGUCAGUGGCAAACGGGUGAGUAAUGUAAAGGAAUCUCCCCAGCAGUAAGGGAUAACUUCGAGAAAUCGAAGCUAAUACCAUAUAUCACCCUUCGGGGGAAAGAUUUAUCGCUGUUGGAUGAGCCUUUAUCGGAUUAGCUAGUUGGUAGGGUAAUGGCCUACCAAGGCGAUGAUCCGUAGCUGGUCUGAGAGGAUGAUCAGCCACACUUGAACUGAGACACGGUUCCGACUCCUACGGGAGGCAGCAGUGGGGAAUAUUGGACAAUGGGCGCAAGCCUGAUCGAGUAAGUCCGCGUGAAUUAUGAAGGUCUUCGGAUUGUAAAGUUCUUUUAGUGAUGAAGAUAAUGACGGUACUCACAGAAAAAGCGCCGGCUAACUUCGUGCCAGCCGCCGCCGUAA